UGUCAAGGUGAAAUGUAGACAGGGCCUCU
rnacentral:piRNA from 1 species